CCUACGGGAGGCAGCAGUGAGGAAUAUUGGUCAAUGGACGAGAGUCUGAACCAGCCAAGUAGCGUGAAGGAUGACUGCCCUACGGGUUGUAAACUUCUUUUAUAUGGGAAUAAAACGUUCCACGUGUGGGAUUUUGUAUGUACUAUAUGAAUAAGGAUCGGCUAACUCCGUGCCAGCAGCCGCGGUAAUACGGAGGAUCCGAGCGUUAUCCGGAUUUAUUGGGUUUAAAGGGAGCGUAGGUGGGUUGUUAAGUCAGUUGUGAAAGUUUGCGGCUCAACCGUAAAAUUGCAGUUGAUACUGGCAGUCUUGAGUACAGUUGAGGUAGGCGGAAUUCGUGGUGUAGCGGUGAAAUGCUUAGAUAUCACGAAGAACUCCGAUUGCGAAGGCAGUUCACUGGACUGCAACUGACACUGAGGCUCGAAAGUGUGGGUAUCAAACAGGAUUAGAUACCCUGGUAGUC
rnacentral:rRNA from 1 species